GAUGAACGCUGGCGGCGUGCCUAAUACAUGCAAGUCAAGCGAACAGACGAGGAGCUUGCUCCUCUGACGUUAGCGGCGGACGGGUGAGUAACACGUGGAUAACCUACCUAUAAGACUGGGAUAACUUCGGGAAACCGGAGCUAAUACCGGAUAAUAUAUUGAACCGCAUGGUUCAAUAGUGAAAGACGGUUUUGCUGUCACUUAUAGAUGGAUCCGCGCCGCAUUAGCUAGUUGGUAAGGUAACGGCUUACCAAGGCAACGAUGCGUAGCCGACCAGAGAGGGUGAUCGGCCACACUGGAACUGAGACACGGUCCAGACUCCUACGGGAGGCAGCAGUAGGGAAUCUUCCGCAAUGGGCGAAAGCCUGACGGAGCAACGCCGCGUGAGUGAUGAAGGUCUUCGGAUCGUAAAACUCUGUUAUUAGGGAAGAACAAAUGUGUAAGUAACUAUGCACGUCUUGACGGUACCUAAUCAGAAAGCCACGGCUAACUACGUG
rnacentral:rRNA from 1 species